GCAGUCGGUGCGCGGUGCGGGCCGAGGUGUGCGGGACCAUGUGCCGGGCACGGCCUGCAUCCCCACCCGGGCAGACCUCUGCGGGCGGCGGGAAGGGAAAGCGCGUUCCCGACGUUGACAGCGAAUGUGCUGGCAAGCGCGGGAGGCGGGAGGGGGGGGGGGGGGGAGGUCUGCGGUGGAGCCCGAGUUUGCGAGCCGCCAAGACCAGGGAGAUUCCAGGUCUGUCACCUGUAACCGGGGCGAGAGAAGUAACCUCGGAAAGAGGCAGGUCUUCUGGAAAUGACGAUAGUAGUGAGGGUAAUGUCCGCUUGUGGGCGUGUCUCGGAGAGUUAGGGUCCAACCGCCCUAUUCCUGGAGGGAGCCUCCUCUCCUUCUGGGAUGCUGAGACUUUGUGGAAGUGA
rnacentral:lncRNA from 1 species